GGAAACAGCCGCUCCGCCCCUCAUGGGGAGGAGAAAGGGAAAAGAGGUGGGGCGCCGAUGGGCCUCGUUCCCUUGCCUGGCGCUGAUUGGUGGUGCGCAAGGCCACGUCAUCCACCUCAGCUCGCAACCCUUGGAGCGAAAAGACAUAGGCGCACGCGGCAGCCCAACGGCUGACUGUCUUCUUCCACCUUAGAUAUACGGGGCUCUUAGUCCGUAUGUUUUGUGUACUGUGCGCGCGCGCGCCCGGGCUGCUUGCCCCCCCCAGUCCCACCCGUUCACAAACCCUUGACGCUCACGUGGUACCAAGCGAGGAACGCGGGAAGGUUCUGCGCACUGUGGAAAUUGGGCCACCAACCCGCGGGUCGNUAGGGGGCGGGGGCUGCUUUCGAAAGUGUCCCGGUUGCCAUUGGUAAUUUAUUGUGACAUCUGAAAUCGGACGUGCUUCGUAAACAUAUAGCAGCUCCGUUAAGGCUUGACGUCUUCAUCCGAAGUGCCAUGGUGCUGAAAGUGACGACGGAAGAAAGUAUUCAGAAUAGGGUUGUCGUAUGAAACACAGGUCAGGAGGAUUCCCGGGACUCUUAGUAGCUCUAUAGAAGAGGGAAGGUCGACACCUGUUGCCUGCAUUACACGCUACGAUUGUGAAUUUCUUCAGCUAUGAAAGCUACGUGAACCCGUGACCUAGAUUUCACGUGGCAAACGCCGCGUCGAGUGAGAGCCUUCGUUUAAGGGAGCGCGUUUUUAAAAUCCCUGUGUAACGUUGAAAACCUUAACGCACGUACAUUUUGUUAACUACUGAAGCUAAUUUGUUAACAGAUGUCAGUGUUUAACGAUUGCCAGCAUGGUGCCCUGGUGUGUGUUUUUGCUGUGGUUUCUAUUUCUCACAAAAAAAACAUGAAAGGAAGAAAGCAGAGUUCUUAGCAGUCCUUUGGAAAGUUCUUUUUUAAGGUUCAGGUUCUUCCAAAUGGAACUGAAAAGUUCCAUCCCCACAAAAUCGUUCCACAGACGUUUCUGAUUGGAACUGGAAUGCAAGAUCAUGCAAAUGUUGACACUCACCUGUAUAUCGAGUGAGAACAAGGAGUGCAGUGCACUGGAUAUUUGUGAAAGCUUGCUGCCGCUGUUACUAGGGCCUGCUUUCAAAGCAUUUUGCAUUGGGUUCUUUCCACAACAUAAUCAUUCAUAUAUCACAGCCUAUUAAUAGCCCCCAAAAGUUCCACACACGUUUCUGACUAGAAGACAAGAUGAUCUAGAAAAUAGUCAAGACAGUAUAUAGUAUGAUUCUACACAUAAUGUGCACUAUCAUGAGGUCUUCGGUGAACCAUAGAUUAUAAAAUAAAAUAAAUAAAGCAGUCUUACCUUUUUUUUAA
rnacentral:lncRNA from 1 species